UGUUUUCUGCACUGCCGCGCGACUCUCCGACCGCGUCAGAUCGUUGAUCGAUUUUGAGGCAGCCGCCACGUCUCCUUUGGCCGACAGCUGACCGACCCACACUUAGGAUUUUUGCUGCGAGUCCGACAGUCGUGCGUUGAGGUGUUGGGAGUAACGUUGGGCUCCCUUAAAUUCACAACCAAUUUGUGAAUUGUUGAGGAUUCAGUUCGCCAAUAUAUCGGAUUGUUUCGAGGACGUUAGUUGAUUAAGGAGCUUCCCUAACUUUGAGGCAAAGGAAAUAAAGGUGGCAAACCGGCGAGGGGCAGGAAGGAAGCGUGAUUGCCAUAGGAAAUG